rnacentral:rRNA from 1 species
GACGAACGCUGGCGGCGUGCUUAACACAUGCAAGUCGAACGGUGAAGCCCUUCGGGGUGGAUCAGUGGCGAACGGGUGAGUAACACGUGGGCAAUCUGCCCUGCACUCUGGGAUAACUCCGGGAAACCGGGGCUAAUACCGGAUAUGACUGUCCCGGGCAUCCGGGAUGGUGUAAAGCUCCGGCGGUGCAGGAUGAGCCCGCGGCCUAUCAGCUUGUGGGUGGGGUGAUGGCCUACCAAGGCGACGACGGGUAGCCGGCCUGAGAGGGCGACCGGCCACGCUGGGACUGAGACACGGCCCAGACUCCUACGGGAGGCAGCAGUGGGGAAUAUUGCACAAUGGGCGAAAGCCUGAUGCAACGACGCCGCGUGAGGGAUGACGGCCUUCGGGUUGUAAACCUCUUUCAGCAGGGAAGAAGCGCAAGUGACGGUACCUGCAGAAGAAGCACCGGCUAACUACGUGCCAGCCGCCGCCGUAAGAC